CACACGACCGGCGCACGGGUGAGUAACACGUUUGCAACCUACCCUUAACUGGAGAAUAGCUCCCGGAAACGGGAAUUAAUACUCUAUAACAUUCAGACAGGGCAUCCUGUUUGGAUCAAAGCUCCGGCGGUUAAAGAUGGGCAUGCGUGACAUUAGUUAGUUGGUGAGGUAACGGCUCACCAAGACUUCGAUGUCUAGGGGUUCUGAGAGGAUUAUCCCCCACACUGGUACUGAGACACGGACCAGACUCC
rnacentral:rRNA from 1 species